GUUUCUAUAUAAUCAGUCUGUUUAGUAGUACCUUAUACUUGAUCCUUUUCUUACUCUUUUUCAUUAAGUUUAUACUUAUCUUAUAUUCAAUAACCUGUAUCGAUAGUUAUAAUUAUUGUUCAUAAAAACAAUAUUGAACUUAUCCCAACAAGCCAAUCUAGAUGUGUAUAAUAUGCUAGAUGCAUUUAGAAAAGUGUCUAAUGGCAACCUGCAUCGCGAAAUGUAUGAAGUUCAUUAAUAUCAAAAUACUGAUACCCC
rnacentral:lncRNA from 1 species